AGAACAUCACAUCACGGCAGCGGUCCUCCUGGACGGAACGAUGUGGCUCCUCGGCUCGGUUCUGUUCGUCGUUCUGGUCGGUUCAUCCGUGUCACAACCUCAGGCGAAUUCACCUGCAUUGUAUUUAGCCUAACAGUGUGUUUCCAUCACACUGACGACUGAAGACUCUGGAAGAUACGAGUGUAGAGUCUUAAGACAAGGAUCCAGAUAGACAUUGGAAUCUGAUCUCCAUCAUCAACCUGACAGUGACUCCUCCAGGUGUGUUCAAGUCUGCUGAACCUGGAGAGAACGUCACUCUGAGAUGUGGAGAUACAAACAUCAACAAGGAUUUGGAUCUACAGUGGAGGAGACUUAACGAGGAGUGGAAUAAAUAUGUGUUUUUCUACUGGAAUAACAGUGUUCAUCUUGACGGUCAGCAUGAAUCUUUCAGGAACCGAGUGUUUCCAGAGGACAGUCAGAUGAAGGAUGGAGAUUCUGUGGUUCUGACAAACGUGACCAUUAAUGACAAUGGAAUAUACCAGUGUUUCAUCAGUAAACACGAUGGUCUAUAUAGAGGAUGGAAGAUGAUCCUCAGCAUCGAGCUGGUGGUGUUUCCUAAAGGAGAGAAAGAUGGAGGAGGAGAUAAAGAUGGAGGAGGAGUCAAAGAUGGAGGAGGAGUCAAAGAUGAAGGAGGAGUCAAAGAUGGAGAGAUCAAGGAUGGAGUAAAAGAGGAGGAAAGAAGAUCUAGUCAAGGAGUUCUUCUUGGGAUGGUUCUGUCAGGUCUUCUUCUUGCAGUUCUGGUUCUGGUUGUUGGUCUGUGGAUCUCCAAGAAUCAAAAAGGUUCAAACCAAAGUUCCAGAGGUUCCAACAAUCAUCGGAAUCCUGACGGUGAUCUUCUGAACUCGGAGAGAAACACAGAACCUGUAGUGUGAUUCUGGAAUGAGAGCAGAGCUCCGCCCACUCCGUCACUUCUGUUAAUUAUUGCUUAUUUUACUGUAAAGAUGGCCGCUUUAUUUACUCUGCUAUGCUAAUCAGCUGUUCUGUUUGCUAGCAUGCUAAAGCGCCGUUGUUAACCUUCAUUUAACCACAUUUGACGGAUAAAUACGACAAAAUCAAACGAUCAG